rnacentral:rRNA from 1 species
AUUGAACGCUGGCGGCAGGCUUAACACAUGCAAGUCGAACGGAGAUGAGGUGCUUGCACCUUAUCUUAGCGGCGGACGGGUGAGUAAUGCUUAGGAAUCUGCCUAUUAGUGGGGGACAACAUUCCGAAAGGAAUGCUAAUACCGCAUACGUCCUACGGGAGAAAGCAGGGGAUCUUCGGACCUUGCGCUAAUAGAUGAGCCUAAGUCGGAUUAGCUAGUUGGUGGGGUAAAGGCCUACCAAGGCGACGAUCUGUAGCGGGUCUGAGAGGAUGAUCCGCCACACUGGGACUGCGACACGGCCCAGACUCCUACGGGAGGCAGCAGUGGGGAAUAUUGGACAAUGGGGGGAACCCUGAUCCAGCCAUGCCGCGUGUGUGAAGAAGGCCUUAUGGUUGUAAAGCACUUUAAGCGAGGAGGAGGCUACUGAGACUAAUACUCUUGGAUAGUGGACGUUACUCGCAGAAUAAGCACCGGCUAACUCUGUGCCAGCAGCCGCGGUAAGAC